CCACGCCGAAAGACCAAGGUUUCCUGCGCAACGUUAAUCGACGCAGGGUUAGUCGGUCCCUAAGGCGAGGCUGAAAAGCGUAGUCGAUGGAAAACAGGUUAAUAUUCCUGUACUUCCGGUUAUUGCGAUGGAGGGACGGAGAAGGCUAGGCCAGCUUGGCGUUGGUUGUCCAAGUUUAAGGUGGUAGGCCGAACACUUAGGCAAAUCCGGGUGUUCAAGGCCGAGAGCUGAUGACGAGCGUUCUUUAGAAUGCGAAGUGGUCGAUGCCAUGCUUCCAGGAAAAGCUUCUAAGCUUCAGAUAACCGGGAACCGUACCCCAAACCGACACAGGUGGUUGGGUAGAGAAUACCAAGGCGCUUGAGAGAACUCGGGUGAAGGAACUAGGCAAAAUGGCACCGUAACUUCGGGAGAAGGUGCGCCGGCCAGGGUGAAGCAUUUACUGCGUAAGCCCCGGCUGGUCGAAGAUACCAGGCCGCUGCGACUGUUUAUUAAAAACACAGCACUCUGCAAACACGAAAGUGGACGUAUAGGGUGUGACGCCUGCCCGGUGCCGGAAGGUUAAUUGAUGGGGUUAGCGCAAGCGAAGCUCUUGAUCGAAGCCCCGGUAAACGGCGGCCGUAACUAUAACGGUCCUAAGGUAGCGAAAUUCCUUGUCGGGUAAGUUCCGACCUGCACGAAUGGCGUAACGAUGGCGGCGCUGUCUCCACCCGAGACUCAGUGAAAUUGAAAUCGCUGUGAAGAUGCAGUGUAUCCGCGGCUAGACGGAAAGACCCCGUGAACCUUUACUAUAGCUUUGCACUGGACUUUGAGCUUGCUUGUGUAGGAUAGGUGGGAGGCUUUGAAGCGUGAACGCCAGUUUGCGUGGAGCCAUCCUUGAAAUACCACCCUGGCAACCUUGAGGUUCUAACUCAGGUCCGUCAUCCGGAUCGAGGACAGUGUAUGGUGGGUAGUUUGACUGGGGCGGUCUCCUCCCAAAGAGUAACGGAGGAGUACGAAGGUGCGCUCAGACCGGUCGGAAAUCGGUCGUAGAGUAUAAAGGCAAAAGCGCGCUUGACUGCGAGACCCACACGUCGAGCAGGUACGAAAGUAGGUCUUAGUGAUCCGGUGGUUCUGUAUGGAAGGGCCAUCGCUCAACGGAUAAAAGGUACUCCGGGGAUAACAGGCUGAUACCGCCCAAGAGUUCAUAUCGACGGCGGUGUUUGGCACCUCGAUGUCGGCUCAUCACAUCCUGGGGCUGAAGCCGGUCCCAAGGGUAUGGCUGUUCGCCAUUUAAAGUGGUACGCGAGCUGGGUUUAGAACGUCGUGAGACAGUUCGGUCCCUAUCUGCCGUGGACGUUUGAGAUUUGAGAGGGGCUGCUCCUAGUACGAGAGGACCGGAGUGGACGAACCUCUGGUGUUCCGGUUGUCACGCCAGUGGCAUUGCCGGGUAGCUAUGUUCGGAAGAGAUAACCGCUGAAAGCAUCUAAGCGGGAAACUUGCCUCAAGAUGAGAUCUCACUGGGAUCUUGAAUCCCCUAAAGGGCCGUCGAAGACUACGACGUUGAUAGGUGGGGUGUGUAAGCGCUGUGAGGCGUUGAGCUAACCCAUACUAAUUGCCCGUGAGGCUUGACCA
rnacentral:rRNA from 1 species